UUCAACUCGUUUUGCAAGUGCUUUGAAUCUAGUGCUGUUGCGGUCAUUGAGGUCCUCUGAAAAUGUUUCUCCUGACAAGUCUGCUGAGAGUUGAUAGACAAGUUCAGCAGCUGCAGUGGUAGGUGCAGCAGUUGUUGGAGCGGCAGUUGUAGGUGCAGCUGUUGUAGUUGCAGCAGUUGUUGCAGCAGUAGUGGCAGGUGCAGCAGUUG